GUCCACGCCGUAAACGAUGAGUGCUAGGUGUUAGGGGGUUUCCGCCCCUUAGUGCUGGAGUUAACGCAUUAAGCACUCCGCCUGGGGAGUACGGCCGCAAGGCUGAAACUCAAAAAGAAUUGACGGGGGCCCGCACAAGCGGUGGAGCAUGUGGUUUAAUUCGAAGCAACGCGAAGAACCUUACCAGGUCUUGACAUCUUUGGCCAUCUCUAGAGAUAGAGAGUUCCCUUCGGGGACCAAAUGACAGGUGGUGCAUGGUUGUCGU
rnacentral:rRNA from 1 species